rnacentral:rRNA from 1 species
GUGGGGAAUAUUGGACAAUGGGCGAAAGCCUGAUCCAGCCAUGCCGCGUGUGUGAAGAAGGUCUUCGGAUUGUAAAGCACUUUAAGUUGGGAGGAAGGGUAGUAACCUAAUACGUUGCUACUUUGACGUUACCGACAGAAUAAGCACCGGCUAACUUCGUGCCAGCAGCCGCGGUAAUACGAAGGGUGCAAGCGUUAAUCGGAAUUACUGGGCGUAAAGCGCGCGUAGGUGGUUCGUUAAGUUGGAUGUGAAAGCCCCGGGCUCAACCUGGGAACUGCAUCCAAAACUGGCGAGCUAGAGUACGGUAGAGGGUGGUGGAAUUUCCUGUGUAGCGGUGAAAUGCGUAGAUAUAGGAAGGAACACCAGUGGCGAAGGCGACCACCUGGACUGAUACUGACACUGAGGUGCGAAAGCGUGGGGAGCAAACAGGAUUAGAAACCCUGGUAGUCC